UAAGAACACUAGGGGUGCUUUUGAAGCUGAGAUUAUACCCAUUGAACCUGAAACAGUUAGUACUGACGCAGGGACUUGUGUAGCAUUUUUUUA
rfam:Enterococcus pallens ATCC BAA-351 genomic scaffold acvKb-supercont1.5, whole genome shotgun sequence.